ACGGGAGGCAGCAGUGGGGAAUAUUGCACAAUGGGCGAAAGCCUGAUGCAGCGACGCCGCGUGAGGGAUGAAGGCCUUCGGGUUGUAAACCUUUUUCGCCCUUGAACAAGCCGCGUUUUGUCGUGGUGAGGGUAUGGGGUAAAGAAGCACCGGCUAACUACGUGCCAGCAGCCGCGGUAAUACGUAGGGUGCGAGCGUUGUCCGGAAUUAUUGGGCGUAAAGGGCUUGUAGGUGGCGUGUCGCGUCUGUCGUGAAAUGUGCUGGCUUAACUGGUGCAGUGCGGUGGGUACGGGCAUGCUUGAGUGUGGUAGGGGAGAUUGGAAUUCCUGGUGUAGCGGUGGAAUGCGCAGAUAUCAGGAAGAACACCGGUGGCGAAGGCGGAUCUCUGGGCCAUUACUGACGCUGAGGAGCGAAAGCAUGGGGAGCGAACAGGAUUAGAUACCCUGGUA
rnacentral:rRNA from 1 species